CAAGUCGAACGCUCGUAGCAAUACGGGAGUGGCGGACGGGUGAGUAACGCGUGGGAACGUGCCCUGAGGUACGGAAUAACUGCGGGAAACUGCAGCUAAUACCGUAUGAGCCCCGCAAGGGGGAAAGAUUUAUCGCCUUAGGAGCGGCCCGCGUCGGAUUAGCUAGUUGGUGGGGUAAUGGCUUACCAAGGCUUCGAUCCGUAGCUGGUCUGAGAGGACGAUCAGCCACACUGGGGCUGAGACACGGCCCAGACUCCUACGGGAGGCAGCAGUGGGGAAUCUUGCGCAAUGGGGGCAACCCUGACGCAGCCAUGCCGCGUGAAUGAUGAAGGCCUUAGGGUUGUAAAGUUCUUUUGCCCGUGACGAUGAUGACGGUAACGGGAGAAUAAGCUCCGGCUAACUUCGUGCCAGCAGCCGCGGUAAUACGAAGGGGGCUAGCGUUGUUCGGAAUUACUGGGCGUAAAGCGCGCGCAGGCGGUUCGAUAAGUUAGGGGUGAAAUCCCUGGGCUCAACCCAGGAAUGGCCUUUAAGACUGUCGAGCUAGAGGACGAGAGAGGUGAGUGGAAUUCCCAGUGUAGAGGUGAAAUUCGUAGAUAUUGGGAAGAACACCGGUGGCGAAGGCGGCUCACUGGCUCGUUUCUGACGCUGAGGCGCGAAAGCGUGGGGAGCAAACAGGAUUAGAUACCCUGGUAGUCCACGCCCUAAACGAUGAGUGCCAGGUGUCGGGAAGCUUAGCUUCUCGGCGCCGCAGCUAACGCCUUAAGCACUCCGCCUGGGGAGUACGGCCGCAAGGUUAAAACUCAAAGGAAUUGACGG
rnacentral:rRNA from 1 species